AAAAUGGGUGUCUGAUUAUUUCUGGCUUGGUACUCUGCUGACAUAAUCUAAUGUUUUGCUUUCGUUGUAAAGCCUUUUUGAAAUCGGACAGUGUGGUUAGAUAAAGGAGAGUCUUAUCUUUAAAAUGCUGUGAAAUAGUCAUAUGUUUGAAAAAUUGAAGUUUUUGUAUUUUAGAGGAGUUUGUAUUUCGCUCCACGCCCAUCAUUGGAUAUUGGAGCAGGUGUUCCGCUAGCGGAACGUUUAGAUGUAAGAGGUUUUUAAGUCUUUGCCAGAGCCUUCUACUCCUGAGUUUGUAGUGUUUGAGGAAGUCUCCUUUCCAAAGGUAACUCGAGAGGAAAACACAGAACCUGUGGGUAACGCUGAUAGUGACAGUUAUUCUUCCGGUAGAGAGGAACAUGAAGAUGUUGCUGAGGAACAAGAUGUUUCUGAGCCAGUUCAUGCAGAUGAUUUUGUGAAUGAACCAGAGAUUGAAGUGCCUGUUCCUCCUUCGCGCAGAAGUACCAGAGCAAAUGCUGGGGUACACUCAAACCCAUAUAACAUUCCUAAAUCAGCUUGUAAUAAUGCAGUUUCAUUCAGUCCUGAAAUGUUGUCCCAGAUUAUAACCAUUCUGGGAACUGUAUUCUUCAGGUGAAGCUGUAAGAGAAGUUAAUAUCUUGUGCUAAAUCACAGAGGACUCUGACUUUGUAGCAGGGGAGAAUGUAGCCAGGUGGUAAAAGCACGUAGCUAUAUUCAUUUAUAUCCACUAGAUGGCACUGUCCCCUUAAGAGAGCCAUAAAUAAUGUGUACAGGCGGUUAUGCGAUUGCGCAGUGUGUAAGAGUGAGAGUAAGCAAUUACACUGGAGAGCUGAUGAAAUCCAUAGUGGGUCCAAUGUCACUUUAGAUGGAUAAAUAAUACUUUUUUAUCUUACUCUUGUACCAGAAUAUAUCAUAUUUUGCAUCAUCUGCAGUGUAUAAGAGUUUGUUUUGUAAUAUUUAUGCUAGAUGUUCAUGUUAGCCUUUUGAUACUUUCAGAUUGACAUGAGGAUGUUAGCUUCUUGCUAGCUGAAUACCAGCGCUCUCAGAACCACGUUGUGGAGUUGAUGAUAACAUUAUUUGAAGCGUGAGUAAUUAUCAGAAUGACAUUCUAUUUCAUGUAAAGCUUCAGGGUGUUGUAUUUUGUUUCAUUUUUGAAUUGUAACCUAUGUGGGGUUAGGGUAUUACAUGGGCAGUGUUUUGUAAGUAUUCAUAUUAUUUUAUGACAUUUAUUUUUUGUUUUUCAUGGGCUCCCGAGUGGCGCAGUGGUCUAAGGCACUGCAUCUCAGUGCAAGAGGCGUCACUACAGUCCCUGGUUCGAUUCCAGGCUGUAUCACAUCCGGCCGUGAUUGGGAGUCCCAAAGGGUGGCGCACAAUUGGCCCAGUGUUGUCUGGGUUUGGCUGGGAAAGCAGAGCCAAUAGCAUUUAUGCAUUUCACUUUGUACUUGUUGUUUUUAUGCACUUUACUAACAGAUUUAUUUCAAUUGAUUGUGACUUAGACUGAACUUUACUUUAUGGUGACUUCACCUUGCGGUGAUUUAUCUUCUACAUUAUCCUAUUUUAAAUGUAAACCUCGACAGAUUAAACAACCCCAAAUGAG